CCCUUAGAUGUUCUGGGCCGCACGCGCGCUACACUGAUGCAUGCAACAAGUCUUUUCCUUGGCCGAGAGGCCUGGGCAAUCUUUGAAUAUGCAUCGUGAUGGGGAUAGACGAUUGCAAUUAUUCGUCUUCAACGAGGAAUUCCUAGUAAACGCAAGUCAUCGGCUUGCAUUGAUUACGUCCCUGCCCUUUGUACACACCGCCCGUCGCACCUACCGAUUGAAUGGUCCGGUGAAGGCUUCGGAGGCGGCUUUCUCAAUGUUUAUUCGGCGAGACUGCUGCCAAAGUUGAAUGAACCUUACCAUUUAGAGGAAGGUGAAGUCGUAACA
rnacentral:rRNA from 1 species